rnacentral:rRNA from 1 species
UACGUAGGGUGCAAGCAUUAAUCGGAAUUAUUGGGCGUAAAGGGCGCGUAGGCGGGGCGAUAAGUCAGAUGUGAAAUUCCAAAGCUCAACUUUGGAGCUGCAUUUGAAACUGUCACUCUAUAGAGGGAUGACGGAGAUUAGCGGAAUUCCACGUGUAGCGGUGAAAUGCGUAGAUAUGUGGAAGAACACCAGUGGCGAAAGCGGCUUUCUAGUUAUAACCUGACGCUGAGGCGCGAGAGCAAGGGGAGCAAACAGG